UUUCCGUAGGUGAACCUGCGGAAGGAUCAUUGUCGAAAGCUUGUGGAACGUCGGUGGACAUGCGGACUUGUUGGAAUAUAUGCGUGGGGUGAAUGGGGGUGUAGCCCUCUCACCAACCCGUGGUUGAUGGGGACGUGUUUGGGAUCCCAUGUGAACCCCGGUCGAACACUUAUAUCGGCAGGUAACGUGCCAAGGAAGCUAUGAGAUAAUCCCACCCCCAGCCCCUCCUCGCGUGGCGUGUGCGUGGGAUUUGGGGAGGUGGAUUGUGCAAUUCUGACAUAACGACUCUCGACAAUGGAUAUCUCGGCUCCCGUAUCGAUGAAGAAUGCAGCGAAAUGCGAUACGUGGUGCGAAUUGCAGAAUCUCGUGAAUCAUUGAGUUUUUGAACGCAAGUUGCGCCCGACGCCAUUUUUUUUGGUUGAGGGCACACCUGCCCGGGUGCCAUGCAUGGAGUUGUCCCUGGACCUCCUCCGAAAUGAGACCUAGUAACAUGGUYGAUUUUUGAGAGUGGGCGUACCAUGGGGGUAGAAGUUGGCCUUCCGUUCCACGUCGUGCGGUUGGUUUAAAUUUGGGGUCCCAGGCGAUAUUGGGUCGUGCGAGUUGCGUAGGAUAAUGUUUGUCCCAUGUCGGUUGGUGAGGCACCUGUGGUCCCAUGGCCUCGUUGACACAUUGACGGAGAAGCCAUCCAGGGCCC
rnacentral:misc_RNA from 1 species